rnacentral:rRNA from 1 species
UACGUAGGGUGCAAGCGUUGUCCGGAAUUAUUGGGCGUAAAGAGCUCGUAGGCGGUUUGUUGCGUCGGCUGUGAAAUCCCGAGGCUCAACCUCGGGUCUGCAGUCGAUACGAGCAAACUAGAGUGUUGCAGGGGAGACUGGAAUUCCUGGUGUAGCGGUGAAAUGACGCAGAUAUCAGGAGGAACACCGGUGGCGAAGGCGGGUCUCUGGGCAACAACUGACGC